UGGGGGAUAUUGCACAAUGGGCGAAAGCCUGAUGCAGCGACGCCGCGUGGGGGAUGAAGGCCUUCGGGUUGUAAACUUCUUUUGCUCUGAACAAGGCAUGCCUUUGGGGUGUGUUGUGUGUAGGGGUUGAUUAGCGCCGGCUAACUACGUGCCAGCAGCCGCGGUAAUACGUAGGGCGCGAGCGUUGUCCGGAAUUAUUGGGCGUAAAGGGCUUGUAGGUGGCUGGUUGCGUCUGUCGUGAAAGCUCAUGGCUUAACUGUGGGUUUGCGGUGGGUACGGGCUGGGUUGAGUGGAGUAGGGGAGGCUGGAAUUCCUGGUGUGGCGGUGGAAUGCGCAGAUAUCAGGAGGAAUACCGGUGGCGAAGGCGGAUCUCUGGGCUGUUACUGACGCUGAGGAGCGAAAGCGUGGGGAGCGAACAGG
rnacentral:rRNA from 1 species